rnacentral:ncRNA from 1 species
GGCCUAUACGUUGCACACCCGUUAGUUUGUCCAUUUUAAUCUCACAAGAUUUUACAUAAUUUUUUCAAACUUUCUAAUUUGUGACCUACUGACCUCAAACUACUUUCAGAAUGUCCACGGACUGGUGGAGACGGGCGCCGUGAGGCGUCCAGUGCGGUGACACUACCGAUCCCGGAGAAGCUGGCGGAAGUCCCGGGGAGAGUUCUCUUUUCUUUGUGAAGGGAAGGGCACCCUGGAAUGGGUUCGCCCCAAGAGAGGGGCCCUAGCCCUGGAAAGCGUUGCGGUUCUGGUGGCGUCCGGUGAGCUUUCGCUGGCCCUUGAAAAUCUGGGGGAGAGGGUGUAAAUCUCGCGCCGGGCCGUACCAAUAUCCGCAGCAGGU